AUGAAUGAUGUGCAGUGUCACAUGUUUAGUGUAAAUUGUCACAUGACCAGAGCUGUUUACUUCCUGGUUGCACCAUGAGAAGAGGAUGGCUGCAUCAAAGCUCCCAAACAAAAGUUUCACUUUGAGUCUAGUUCAGGAUAUGUUGGAUCUAGGUGACUGCCCAGACAGGGCAUGCAACAUUGCAGUUAUCCCUCAAAAUGAGAAAGAUGCUGUCCUGAGUGAUUGUGAUAGCGAUGGGUCAGAUAUGGACUAUGGACAGGCCAUUUGCCAGCCAGGCUGUUGAAUGCAUAUGCUGAACCUAUGCAAACAGAUCAUGACAGGAACAAUGUUAUCAGUGAUGAUGACCUACCCCUCACCCCCCCAUCCACAAUCUUCCCCACCCCCCUCCAUUGGUGAUAAUGAAGAGCCAAAAGGCCUCUACCCGCCAGAGGAUCCAGUCAGAAGAGCCAAGGGCCUCUACAAGCCAUAGGGGUCAGCCAGAAGAGCCAAGGGAAAAGCUGCAGGUGGUCAAAAAUAAAGAUUGAGCGUUCAAACGAUCGAAGAGGCCGGCCACUGCUGUGAUUCCAAAACACAUCGUAUACAGCCCAAAUAUGCAAAAGUUUGGCACAAAACCACUGGGCCAUGGAAGGAGAUCUUUACUGGCUGCUACUGUUGAAGAUCAGGCAAGAUAUGACAAAGCUUCUCACUGGCCAAUCAACACGAUGCACCGGUUCCAGAGAAGUCGUCAUUGGGACAAACGUAUUACCUAUGCAUGUGAGAAAUGCAAAGCGCCACUGCACAUUGAGUGCUUCAAGAUAUACAAUGGACAGUAGAAAAGGAGAUAAGAGCGAAUGAAAAAGGUCUGAAAAAGACAUGAAAAGAAAAAUAGAAAAGUCGAUAAAGGGUGAGGAGAAGCAGUACAACAGACUCUAGGAAGAAAAGAAAAGUUGAUAGAGGAGAAGCAGUACAACGGACUGUAGGAAGAAAAGAAAAGUCGAUAGAGGAGAAGCAGUACAACAGACUCUAGGAAGAAAAGAAAAGUCGAUAGAGGAGAAGCAGUACAACGGACUGUAGGAAGAAAAGAAAAGUCGAUAGAGGAGAAGCAGUACAACGGACUGUAGGAAGAAAAGAAAAGUCGAUAGAGGAGAAGCAGUACAACGGACUCUAGGAAGAAAAGAAAAGUCGAUAGAGGAGAAGCAGUACAACGGACUCUAGGAAGAAAAGAAGGCUACAGGCUACCUAUCCUACAUGUUACCUUUAUGUUCAGUGGGAAUGAAUCACACGACUGCUAUACAGUUGUUAGUGAAUGUUGCACUAAAAUGUCAAUGACAAUGUUACAAUGAAUAUUGCACUGAAGUACAAGUUCAAAUGUUACAAUGAAUUUACAAUAUUAAUGUUUCAGUACAUGUUGCACUAAAGUAACAAUGUUGAAAUAC